rnacentral:lncRNA from 1 species
CACUCUCACACCUCUAUCCACUGACUGUGGAAAAGACGCCUGAGAUUAGGGGAUGUGCGACCCCGAGACCCCUGUGUAAGGAGCCUUCCACCCUUCCGGCAGUGCCAGGCAUGCUGGAGUACGAGAGUCUGCAGGGCAUUUCCGGUCUGAAGCCCACUGGUUUCCGGAAGCGCUCAUCCAGCAUCGAUGACACCGAUGCCUAUACCAUGACGUCCAUCCUGCAGCAGCUGAGUUACUUCUACAGCACCAUGUGUCAGAACGGCCUGGACCCUGAGAUUGUGAGGCAGGCGGUCAAGCAGCUGUUCUACCUGAUCGGGGCGGUGACCCUCAACAGCCUCCUCCUUCGAAAGGACAUGUGCUCCUGCAGGAAAGGGAUGCAGAUCAGGUAAAACCCUUAUGCUGUGCUUCCCCUCCCACAGGCCAGCUGGAAGAAAUGCUGCUGAUGCUGGGCCCUCCCUGCCUGCCCCUGGACAAGGCUCCACUGAGCCCCCUGAGUGUUGGCCUGUUGGUGGCUGCACACCAACGCCUUCACACUGAACUGCCAACUCGACGCUUGAGCCUAUGAGAACGUCAUUAGUAUGUUGUGGAGUCUGAGUUUCCAAGGCCAUCAGACACUUAACCAGUAUCAACCGCCUGCUUGGUGACUGGCCCAGUCAGGUGCAACAUCAGCUUCCUGGAAGAAUGGCUAAAAGAUAAGAAUUUGCAGAACAGCUUAGCCAAGGAGACUCUGGAGCC